rnacentral:tRNA from 1 species
GGGAAUGUAGCUUAGUGGUAGAGUGCUUGCCUAGCACGCAUGAAGUCCUGGGUUCAAUACCUCAGUACCA